rnacentral:misc_RNA from 1 species
GAUGAAGAACGCAGCGAAAUGCGAUAAGUAAUGUGAAUUGCAGAAUUCAGUGAAUCAACGAAUCUUUGAACGCACAUUGCGCCCGCCAGUAUUCUGGCGGGCAUGCCUGUUCGAGCGUCAUUUCAACCAUCAAGCCCCCGGGCUUGUGUUGGGGACCUGCGGCUGCCGCAGGCCCUGAAAAGCAGUGGCGGGCUCGCUGUCACACCGAGCGUAGUAGCAUACAUCUCGCUCUGGGCGUGCUGCGGGUUCCGGCCGUUAAACCACCUUUUAACCCAAGGUUGACCUCGGAUCAGGUAGGAAGACCCGCUGAACUUAAGCAUAUCAAUAAGCGGAGGA